ACGGUAUAAAUAUAUAAUAUAGCCUCCAACAAUAAACAACGCUUAAAAUGGUAACAUAGUGCAUAGUGUGAUAUAUAAAAGAAGAUAAUCAAGAUCAAAAUUAAAUUGGAAAUUUAUCUAAGAAUACAAAAAUGUGCUUUGAUGGUUAAGUUAAAAAAAGGAACUAAAAGAGUUAAUAAGCUGGCUGUAUGACGGGAUGCUUUAAAUAUCAACUAAAUCUUCAUCUAAGACUUGCUUGGCGUCUGCUGAUAAGCAUCUCGGCAACAAUUUCGCACAUGACCAAUGCAUGGUGAUUGCAACAGCUAACUGAAAUGCUGCUGACAUAGAUAAAAAAAAGCAACGCAACACAGUAACAACAAGUAUUUUUUGUUUGUUAUAUCAAUGAAGAAUUAUUAUGGCAUAGUCGACGAUAGCGUUGCCCUUCGGCAUUAUUCGUCUCUUAUCUGGGCUUCUACCAUGAAGGAGGUGCGCUAAUUGCCUUUGUUAGGAAUGGAAAUAUCUUCGAAUAAUUUGGAUUUUAG